rnacentral:rRNA from 1 species
UGAGUAGCUGCGAGCGAAACGGGAAGAGCUCAGCACGUAGAGGUGAUGCACUUGCGUAUCUACCUGGUUCCGUGUACUGGAAAUUUCGUCAUCUGCCGUAACCAGCGGUUACCAGUUCAAGUUCAACUAGAAUGUGGCUUUUACUCCCAGAGAGGGUGAUAGGCCCGUAGAACGGCGCUGAUGGUAGAAGAUUUUUCCAUGGAGUCGUGUUGCUUGAUAGUGCAGCACAAAGUGGGAGGUAAACUCCUUCUAAAGCUAAAUAUCACCACGAGACCGAUAGCGAACAAGUACCGUGAGGGAAAGUUGAAAAGCACUCUGAAUAGAGAGUCAAAAAGUACGUGAAACUGCCUAGGGCUCAAGCCCGUUGAACUCGAUUAUCCGAGCGGAGACAUUCACCUGCGGUUGGCCGGUCGCGGCACGCCGCAGGGCACUUGUCUCCCGCGUUCACGAGGACAUUGCGAUCCAUUACGAAACAGCUUUCGCGUCGCAAGACGCAAGGUCGCCCGACAGUUGCCCCUUGGUGCCGGUUGCUUGCCCCACAGUAGCGACGCUCAGUUCUGAAGGCCUGUGCCGCGAGGUGGGGCUUACUGCACGUGGUGUUUGCAGUCGGGCGCGUGAUGGAUUUCCGCGUACACCGCCGGCCUUCCCGYAUGGGGCCGGCGGACUGUCGAUCGGCAAUGAUAAAAUCGAGGUACCUCCGG